rnacentral:rRNA from 1 species
UAGGGAAUCUUCGGCAAUGGACGAAAGUCUGACCGAGCAACGCCGCGUGAGUGAAGAAGGUUUUCGGAUCGUAAAACUCUGUUGUUAGAGAAGAACAAGGACGUUAGUAACUGAACGUCCCCUGACGGUAUCUAACCAGAAAGCCACGGCUAACUACGUGCCAGCAGCCGCGGUAAUACGUAGGUGGCAAGCGUUGUCCGGAUUUAUUGGGCGUAAAGCGAGCGCAGGCGGUUUCUUAAGUCUGAUGUGAAAGCCCCCGGAUCAACCGGGGAGGGUCAUUGGAAACUGGGAGACUUGAGUGCAGAAGAGGAGAGUGGAAUUCCAUGUGUAGCGGUGAAAUGCGUAGAUAUAUGGAGGAACACCAGUGGCGAAGGCGGCUCUCUGGUCUGUAACUGACGCUGAGGCUCGAAAGCGUGGGGAGCAAACAGG